UUUUUUUUUUUUUUUUUAAUUUUAUUUUAUUUUAUGGAUGUACCCACAGCAUAUGGAUGUUCCCAGGCCAGAGAUUGAAUCCUAGCCACAGCUGCAGCAAUGUGAUCCUUUUAAACACUGGAUCAUUUUCAACCCACUGUGCUAGGCUGAGGAUUGAACCCUUGCCUCUGCAGCAACCUGAGCAGUCAGUAUCUUAAUCCAUUGUACCAUGGCAAGAACCCCAAACCUUGUUCUUCUUACUAUACUUUUCAUGGUUACUUUUGCAUAACUAGUCUCCCACACACACUUUCCCUUGUCUUUAGCUGAAAUGUACUUAAGCCAGAAUUCUAAGCUACAUCUGUGAAUUAUAAUUUUUCCCUUAUCUCUCAUUUAAACUUAUUUAAAAUUUUUCUCUUAUUAAUUUGCCUUCUGUAUAGGAACCCAGCCAAGAACUUAGAGGGAUAAUUAUUUUUCCUCCCCCUAAGACUUUGACAUUGUUGAAGCAGCUGACUUUACUCUGGCUGAUUUUUUCGGUCCUAUGUUCUUGACUUUUUUUUUUUUUUGCUUUUUAGGGGCGCACCCAUGGCAUAUGGAUUUUCCCAGGCUAGGUGUCAAAUCAGAGAUAGAACUACCAGCCUAUACCACAGCUCAUAACAAUGGUGGAUCCUUAACCCACUGAGUGAGGCCCUGGAUCGAACCCGAAUCCUCAUGGAUACUAGUCAGGUUCGUUACCACUGAGCCACGAUGGGAACUCCCUGCUCUUGAUGUCUACUGCACUUAAUUUUAAAAUUUAAUGCCACAGCUUUAAAUCUAGGUCAUUGACGAUCCAAAUCUGGUCUUUCUUUUUAAGUCUAGUUUCCUGAGUUUUCCUUAAUAAAUGAAAUAGUCCAAGGAGAAUAUGCCACCAUUUCCAGAAUCUUACCUGGAAUUUAUGAUUAUAUUAUCUAUGUGUUCUAAAGUUUUGUUUGUUCCAUGUUUUUCACUCUGGGCCAUUCUGAGUCCAGGUUGAUCUCAGCUCUAAUGGUAGGAUCAGCCUUAUAAUUGGAGAGAAUUGAAAAAUGUUUAUUUUUAUAAGGUUUAAGGGGCCUUCCUAAUCUCAAUCAAUAUUCUCAUUUAAAGUUCUUAGUUUGGUAUAUCCUAGUCUGUUGUCCACAAUCUCUUAUAAUCUAUCAGCUGUUUUAUUAUGUAUGACACUGUCAGUAUAUUAUCUUUAAUCUUUAUAGCAAUUUUAAAAAGGAGAAAUUAUUCACUUUUAGAGAUUAGAAAAGAGGCUGUGCAGAAUUAACUUGCUCCAAGGCUAGUGAGUACAAAGGAUGCUAAUAGGCCUGAUUUUGAAGAUUUCUGUAGGGUUUGAAACAGAUGUGACUUACAAAGUCAAGAGUCAGAAUUUGAACACACACAUGGCCUAAACUGAUCUGUCCCCUUGUAGAUGUACUUGUGAGCACUGAUUUUGGAGUCAGAUUGCUUGGCUUCAAAUCUCAGCUCCAACAAAUUAAUAAAGUGCAUACGUCAUAUGAUAAUAUAAAAUGAGGAGAGACCCUAUAAAAAGGACAUGAAAUGGCAAAAGAACAAUGCUGCUUACUUCACUUUUGUUGAGGCUGCUCUUACCCAAGCUUUCUUCCAUUGGUUCUAGGAGAAUGCAGCAUGAUGAUACCUAGGGAAAAUCAGUGGAGUGUGGGGACAGGAGGGAAGGGGUUAGGAUUUUGGUUCCUUCUACCUACAUAACUUAUGCUAAAGGGGAAAACCAAUUUAAUAACUCAGCUUACUUUUCUUAUUUAAAGAGAAGGCAAGCAAUAACUUACCACAUCAUAUAGGUAUUUGAAAAAAUUCCUCUAUGCAGAUGUAGAUAUGAAGUUUUGUUUAAAGUGCCAAUUAUCAUGUAAUGUGUCAAGAAAAUCAAGAUAAAUAAAACAUGAUCUCUGUUCUUAAAAUGCUCAUAGUCUAGAGCUUAGGCACAAUAAUGAGGAGAAGUCUGCAAAACACUAUGUAGAGUGAUUAAUUCUGCUUAGAAGCCUGGGGAGUCUAAGAAAGCUUUCACAGAGCAAUGCCAGACAUUGGCUGACAAAAACUGUUAGGCAAAACUUUAUAUUAGAAUUAGCUUGGUGUAAAGAGAAAAUGUUACCUUCUCAGGUCCCUCUAACUUUCUUCCAAGAGAAGUAUCAGAUAUAAGAACUCUACCAUUAGUAGUUAAAACUACUGUAUGAUUUAGAGUUGUUUCUUUGUUCACUGUCUGUUGAGGGAAAAACACUGUCUUUAUCAAGAAUUGGUCCAAGUAUGCUAAGAGUUAAUCCUAGUUAAAUGUGAAUCAAUGUUAAUUCCUUAUUUUCCCCACUCAUCUUAAAUUUGUAAGAAGCAGCUUAAUGAGAUGAAUAUACAUAGCAGAAAGACUUUUUGGUCUAAAUAUCAAAUUUUAUUGAAAUAAAAUAUAAUCUAUAAUAAAAAAUACUAAGAGUGUUACCACUGGUUACAGUUUUAAGUAUGUUAACAAAAAAAAAAUCCAACAUUUUAAUCCAAGAAUGAUGCUAUCCUUGUGGUACAAUAACAAACAUAAAAUUAAAUAUUGAAUAAUACUGAAUAAUUCUUUCAGAAAUAUUUUGUAUUUUCCCAUCUAUGUUAAUAUGCCUUUUUAAGGAGUAUCCCUUUUAAGGAGUUUCAAAAGUGAAGCUUUUGAAACUGAAGACAUGGUUUUUAGAAUCAAAUAGUUUUAGCAUAAUUAGCCUAUAAAACAAUAACUUUCUUUGAUGGAAAUUCAGUUCAACCCUAUGCUAGAUUGCUUUUAGUGUCUUUAUUAAAAAAAUGUAUCUCAAUGCUCUUUUCUAUCACUUUCUAGGGUUGCUGUUAUUCUUAAACUGAAAUUAAAGCUGGUCAUAGAGCAAAACAGAUGAAUUAUUUCAGAAGUAGAAAGGGUAUUAAGAUAGUAAAGGAAAGAAGGAGGAAAAAAAUAGGCACUCAUACACAAUUUAUAUAUUUCAGCUCUUUGAGAACUCUAUUUCAGUUGGCCAAUCUUGGCCUGGCACAAGGAGAUCUAUCAUAGCAACCUCUUGACCCAAAUAGCAGGGCAGUAAAGUGGAGAAAGAAAACUUGUUUCUUGUUACAUUUCAAGAUCACUUUCUCUGCCAUCAUCAUACCACUUCACUUGCUAUUCCCCAAUCCAAUUGAUUCUGCACAAUUCAAGGAAGAAGACUCACAUGCACUAACUUUAGGAAAUGACUUUCAGGGUACCUCUGAAGUUUCACAAGUCGUGAUUAUCCCUUUUGCUGAUUGUUGGGUAGCAAUCAUACAUCAAUCUCCGAUCAUAUUGUCCUACUUGUGAUGUUUGGAUCUGUGAAAACAAUAGUUGUGAUUUUAUUGAGAAAGAUAUCCUUUAAACAGAAACCACUGGAAGCUUUUCAAGUCCUCGUCUUUAAAAAUCUGUAAUGCUCUAGGAUAUCUUCUAUACCUGGGAAAAAAUUAUUUCAUACAAGUACGGUAUAACAAAAACUGACAAAACUGAGAGAUACACAGGACAGAUUAAUUGCUAAUCUUAGUCUUAAAAUGCAGUUAAUUGGUUAGAACUGUUCUGCAAGUUAUCUUAUUUAUAAUGCUCAUUUGGACAGGUCACUGAUUUAGGAAUUUAAAUGGGCACUUCAGUUUCCUGAAUUUCUAUUUAAAGUUGUAACUACUAGAGCCAAAUAAGCCAGGAUCAUUUUCAGAAGAAUUUUUCUUUAUCCACCUUCUAAUAUAGGAGGAACCUCUGCCCUUCAAGGUAGGCUAUUACAGUAAGCAUAGGUAUACAGUUUUUAAAGUUAAUGGUGACAAAUUCUUAAGUAGUUUGAAAGAAUUCUUUCUUAGAAUUAAUAUCAGAUGAAGUAGAUAAUAAUGCAACUUCUUGUUCUUUAAGUCUACUGUGGUUUAAAGCUAGGCUUUAUGUUUCUGCCCAGGUAUUUCAACACCUUAUCUGGGAUAGUACCAUGCCCUAAAAAUUAGCUAUCAUAGGCAGACAAAUCUAAACCUCACCCUUUCUUGGUUCAACAGGAUGAAGCUAAACUUGAGGCAAUAGUUGAAGACUUUUACCCUGUUUAAGUUAAACUUUUUUGAAAUCAGAAAAGUGAUAUCAGAAAGGGGAAUCCUUCAUGUAAAUAUACAUAUACCCAUCAUGAUUUAUUGAACUCUAAUUUCAAAAGGGAGAAACAAUGGGAUUAAGUAAGCGAACAUGCAUGUGUUAAGAUUUAGAUAAAUCUUCAAAAUAAGUUAAACUUACCAGGAUCCUGCAAUUUGUCCCUCAGACUCCAUUAUCUCUAUUUUGCAAUAUAUUUUGUUCAAGAACCCUUUGAUUAUAAUUUUAGUUUCUUUUAAAGUGUCACUCAAAAAGAGUGACCACAUUUUUUUCAUGUUUUUUCAAUAGCUUUAGAAGUGUUGGACAUC
rnacentral:lncRNA from 1 species